UGAAAUGUGUAAACCCAUCUCCAAAACUGGGUUUACAUUUUUAUAUGUAGCAUUUAGCAUGGUCUGUAAUAGAACAUCAUUAUGACUAGUACUACUGCUAUUUUGUUAUUAUUGAUCAUAACAAUGCUGCUAACUCAGAAUAUAUAUUUUCUACCAUAUUAUUUUUUUUUUUACCUUUUAAAGAGAGUCAGUGUCAAGGUAUCAGGAGGUAAAUGUUUGAGUUUCCUUUGGAAUCAAAUAACUUAGUUGUUCAUUCAGAUGCUCCCCUUCUCUGCUAAGGGUCAAUAUGAACCUCAAAAUGUUUUGGAUUUUAUACUGCCUCCUUAUUGUCUGUCUUAGAAAAGUUUCCUUGAUUUUUCCCUGCCUAGGUACUUAGAUUUUGCAACUUACAUUUAUCCAGAGUAUACUUUGCUUUUAACCUCUCCCAUAAUUGGCCUCCUUGUCCCAAUAAUUAUGCACAGCAAAAAUCAGUUCAACUGUUUAUGAUCACUGGGUCUCAUCAAUAAGCUAGGGACCACAGCUGCUUUUAAAAAAAGAAAAAAAGAAAAAAAGAAGCAUAAGAUACGGCCCCUGCCCUCAAGAAGUUCCAGUCUUAUCAGAGAAACAACACUUAUAUAUUAAAAGUCUAACGAUAAUUUACAUGUGAAUGUGCCAAGAUGGGUACUGUAUGUGGUCAUGCACAAGACCUGGGACCUGGCAGGGAGUCCUGUUGGCUGGAGACAGGACAGUGGUGACAAGGGUCAGUCCGCAUUCCCAGGCAGAGACCAAGCAUGAUUCCACCUAUGUGCUUCUGGAAAAGGACUUAUGUCUGUUAUCUGCUGAGAUGUUUGACUUUCUUGAGGACAAAAAGCCCCCUGGGCAGAAUCCUUGAGUGAGGUGAGGAUAGAAACUGCAAUGAGUCAGGCUGAGUCACCAGGACUCUUACUCAGCCCCAGAGAGGAAGAGGUGACUGAGUCAUGCCAAGGCAUGUUUUUAGCACGGGGCCCCAGCAGGGCAUGCUGGAAAUGCUCUCGCUCCUACUCUUUCUGGCAAAGUGAAAAAUACAUUUUUGCGUAUGUUACCCAAGAAAAUGGUACCUUCUUUUCAGGUGUGUCAGCUGAGGUAAGAAAAUGCCUCCCCGGUGCCUUGUAAUUUCCAUCUUUAGAAAUACUCACACCUACCCUGACCUAGAUUGGAGGCAGGUUUUUCCGCAACCUUUUGUGAAGGCUCUGUUCCACCCCCCCCAUCCCCAGAGGAAAAAUAGCCAGAGGCUGUGUUUGUUGAUAGCUAUGAUGAGGAAUAGGGAGGCCAGUGGGAGGUGGCACAGCUAAACCCAUUAGGGUGGUUGUAGCAUGCAUUACAGGGAAAACAGAAGGAUCAGGCUUUCCAGGUCCCCAGCUUUUUUUUUUUUUAAUGUUUAUUUUUGAGAGAGAGACAGAGACAGAGACAGAGACAGAGUAUGAGUGGGGGAGGGGCAGAGAGAGAGAGGGAGACACAGAAUCUGAAGCAGGCUCCAGGCUCUGAGCUGUCAGUGCAGAGCCCGAUGUAGGGCUUGAACUCACGAAGCGUGAGAUCAUGACCUGAGCCAAAGUUGGACGUUCAACCGACUGAGCCACCCAGGUGUCCCUCUAGGUCCCCAGCUUUUAGAGCUCCAGUGAAGGGUGUGUGUCCUCCAUGAGAGGGUGCACAAAACCAGGACCUUUUUGUAAUGCUCUUACCCAGAGUGUGGCUAUGGGAACAACAGACUCACUUUUGGGAAGGGGACCCAGGUGAUGGUCACACCAGCUAUUCAGAACCCUGACCCUGCCGUGUACCAGCUGAAAAGCCCUGAAUCCAGUAACAUCUCUGUCUGCCUGUUCACUGAUUUUGAUUCGGAAGUCAAUGUGAAACCAUCCACAGAGUCCAACAUGAUUAGAUUGAAAAGUACUUCACUGGACAUGAAGACUAUGGAUUCCAAGAGCAACGGGGCCCUGGCCUGGAGCAACAGCUUUGAUUUGGGAUGCAAUAGUACCUUCAACUACACCUUCCACUCCAGCUCAGAAUUUCCCUGUGAUGCCAAUGUGGUAGAGAAAGGCUUUGAAACAGAUAUGAACCUAAAUUUCUACAACCUGCUAGUGAUCGUGCUCCGCAUCACCUUCCUGAAGGUGGUUGGCUUUAACCUGCUCAUGACGCUGCGGCUGUGGUCCAGCUGAGGUCACCAAGAAUGUGAGAGCCCAGCGCUCCCCUGCUCCUCCCACACCUUCUCCCCCUCUUCAAGAAGAGAGGCACACUCUCUGCCCCCAUGGAGAAGAAGGUUCCCUCCACCUCUCUGGUCCCACUGGCAACGUCACUGACCGGACCCUAGCAGAUAUUUGUGAUCAAGAUGCUGAAGAGCUGCCAAACACCGCUGCCACCAGUCUGUCCCCUCAUCGCUGCUUGUCACUGCCUGACACUCCCGGCAAAGGAGCUGCUGCUGUGGCCUCACCUGGCUGGGGAGAAACUCCCCGACCUUCCCCUGAGACUGCCCAUAUGUCCCCUGGAUGAGGGAUCCCCAGUGGGUCCUCUCAGGCUCUAGCUCCUGGAGAAUGUUGUGAGGAGUUUAUAUAUUUUAAAUUAUGUUCAUAAAGGAAUAACACAUCACACUUGUCCCCAAGAUGUGAGGAAAAUUAUUAUCUAGGCCCUGCUGUGCUGUGUAUCUGAGCCACAUUGUAUAUUCUGCUACCCAUGACUUCAUUAAAGGCAUUGAAAGAGCA